rnacentral:rRNA from 1 species
CCUACGGGAGGCAGCAGUGGGGAAUUUUGGACAAUGGGGGAAACCCUGAUCCAGCCAUCCAGCGUGUAUGAUGAAGGUCUUCGGGUUGUAAAGUACUUUUGGCAGAGAAGAAAAGGUAUCCCCUAAUACGGGAUACUGCUGACGGUAUCUGCAGAAUAAGCACCGGCUAACUACGUGCCAGCAGCCGCGAUAAUACGUAGGGUGCAAGCGUUAAUCGGACUUACUGGGCGUAAAGCGUGUGUAGGCGGUUCGGAAAGAAAGAUGUGAAAUCCCAGGGCUCAACCUUGGAACUGCAUUUUUAACUGCCGAGUUAGAGUAUGUCAGAGGGGGGUAGAAUUCCGCGUGUAGCAGUGAAAUGCGUAGAUAUGUGGAGGAAUACCGAUGGCGAAGGCAGCCCCCUGGGAUAAUACUGACGCUCAGACACGAAAGCGUGGGGAGCAAACAGGAUUAGAUACCCUGGUAGUCCACGCCCUAAACGAUGUCAACUAGCUGUUGGGGCCGUUAGGCCUUAGUAGCGCAGCUAACGCGUGAAGUUGACCGCCUGGGGAGUACGGUCGCAAGAUUAAAACUUAAAGGAAUUGACGG